rnacentral:ncRNA from 1 species
GUACGUCAAGAGCACACCCGGCGCGAGCCGGGGCCGCAAAGCCCACGGAUCCAGGCGACUCCCUCCGCCUGGAUGGCCGGGUUCCAGUA